rnacentral:lncRNA from 1 species
UGAUAUAUGGUGUUUUAUACAUCUUGUAUAUAUGCUUUUAAAUUGGUUUUCAUGUCUUUAUCGAGUCUUCCUAGUCCUUUUGGAGUCAUUACAGGUCUGGAGUUGCAUUGGAUGGGAGAUGGAUCAGCUGGAACAAAAGAGGCAGAAAACAAUGCAAUUUGGUGGUUUUCACGCAUAACAGUCUUGAUGACUGUUCCGGAUAGCGGAGCAACCCGAGUGAUUGUUCCGAGUGAGUGUUCCAGCGGCAGAGAUUUUUAAGGAAACUACAAUCAUUACGGGAUUUGCCCUAAUUAUCCCUAUUUUCUCUCCCAGCCGCCUGUGGCUUUGAUAUAUCAUAUUUUCUGUUUCUCUUUAUCAUUCUACGCU